rnacentral:tRNA from 1 species
GCGUCCGUAGCCCAACGGCAGAGGCACCGGUCUCAGGUACCGGACGGUGCGGGUUCGAAUCCCGCCGGACGUA